UGCUGUUCCAACAACUUGUCUACAAGCUUGCUUUUGGAACAGCAUUGACACAACUUGUUAACAAGCUUGCUACAAGCCCGUUGAGAACAUAUCUUGUAGACAAGUUAUUGGAACAGCAUUAUAACGACAAGUUUGUCUUCUAAAAUUGCCUCAGCCAGCAAUUUANNNNNNNNNNNNNNNNNNNNAUAAUUUCUGCCUCGCGUGCCAAAAUCUUUCCGUGCGCGGCGAACGAAAGCUAUCUGCUUACGGAUUGUCGUAACAGCGCAUGCGUAGUAUACGAAAGUAAACAUCCAAGAUGGCGGCGCAAAAUGAAUUGCUGGCCGAGGCAAUUUUAGAGGACAAACUUACUGGCUAUUUCUUUCACCGCACAUUCCCUUUUGUCCCUAUUUCUAAAAUCUGCAGAACUCACACCGUAUAAACAUUUGUAUUCAGGCCAAAGGUCGACAAGUUUGUCCUCUAAAAUUGCCUCGGCCAGCAAUUCAUUUUGCGCCGCCAUCUUGGAUGUUUACUUUCGUAUACUACGCAUGCGCUGUUACGACAAUCCGUAAGCAGAUAGCUUUCGUUCGCCGCACACGGAAAGAUUUUGGCACGCGAGGCAGAAAUUAUCAAACAUGUUAAGGCCGGCGCACACUAGAGCUAUGUGCUUAGCAAAAUGUCAUUCGUGACUGUUGGCGUAAGGAGAUAGCUCUCGUGUGCGGGCGAUUUACGAACGACUUUUGUCAUUCGUGCCACUUACGCCAAAUAUCUAACAUGUUUGAUAAUUUCUGCCUCGCGUGCCAAAAUCUUUCCGUGUGCGGCGAACGAAAGCUAUCUGCUUACGGAUUGUCGUAACAGCGCAUGCGUAGUAUACGAAAAUAAACAUCCAAGAUGGCGGCGCAAAAUGAAUUGCUGGCCGAGGCAAUUUUAGAGGACAAACUUGUCGAACUUUGGCCUGAAUACAAAUGUUUAUACAAUG
rnacentral:lncRNA from 1 species